ensembl:lncRNA
AUGGCACAUUUUGCCCCUGCCAAAAGUCCUAAUCCUCCCAGUAAUCCUUGGCUUAAUCCAGUUGCUCCUGCUGAUGCUGCUGAUAUUCCCAGUGAUGCUCCUGCUGAUGCUGCUGAUAUUCCCAGUGAUGCUCCUCCUGCUGCUGCUGAAACUGCCUGUGAUGCUCUUCCUGCUGCUGCUGAAACUCUCAGUGAUGCUCCUCCCGCUGCUGCUGAAACUCCCAGUGAUGCUCCUCCUGAUACUGCCAGUGAUGGUCCUCGUGAUGCUUCUAAAACUGCAUGUGAUGCUCCUCUUGUUGCUGCUGAUACUGCCAAUGAUGCUCGUCCUAAUGCGGCUGAUUCUGCUUGUGAUGCUCCUCCCGAUGCUGCUGAUUUUGCUUGUGAUGCUGCUAAUUCUGGCUGUGAUGCUCCUUGUGAUGCUGCUGAUUCUGCUUUUGAUGCUCCUCCUGAUGCUGCUGAUUUUGCUUGUGAUGCUGCUGAUUUUGGCCGUGAUGCUCCUUUUGAUGUUGCUGAUUCUGCCUGUGAUGCUGAUGAUUCUGCUUGUGGUGCUACUGAUUCUGAUUGUGAUGCUCCUCCUGAUGCUGCCAAUUCUGCUACUGAUGCGGCUGAUUCUGCCUGCAAUACUCCUACUGAUUCUGCUUGUGAUGCUGCUGAUUCUGCCUGCGAUACUCCUCCUGAUGUUACUGAUUCUGCUUGUGAUGCUGCUGAUUCUGCCUGCGAUACUCCUCCUGAUGUUACUGAUUCUGCUUGUGAUGCUGCUGAUUCUGCCUGCGAUACUCCUCCUGAUGUUACUGAUUCUGCUUGUGAUGCUGUUGAUUCUGCCUGUGAUACUCCUCCUGAUGUUACUGAUUCUGCCUGUGAUACUGAUGAUUCUGCUUGUGGUGCUACUGAUUCUGAUUGUGAUGCUUUUCCUGAUACUGCCAAUUCUGCUUGUGUUGCUGCUGAUUCUGCCUGCGAUACUCCUCCUGAUGUUACUGAUUCUACCUGUGAUACUGAUGAUUCUGCUUGUGGUGCUACUGAUUCUGAUUGUGAUGCUUCUCCUGAUACUGCCAAUUCUGCUUGUGUUUCUGCUGAUUCUGCCUGCGAUACUCCUCGUGAUGUUACUGAUUCUACCUGUGAUACUGAUGAUUCUGCUUGUGGUGCUACUGAUUCUGAUUGUGAUGCUCCUCCUGAUACUAACAAUUCUGCUUGUGGUGCUACUGAUUCUGGUUGUGAUGCUUCUAGUCCUGUUUGUGAUGCUGCUGCUGCUAUUGCUGCAGAUCCUGAUCCUACAAUUAGUGUUGCAGUGGGUAACGCCUUUAAACACCAUUCUACUGCUGCUUUUACUCUUUUUAUCAAGGCUAAAACCCACUGUAACUUAUCUAUUACCACCUGUAUUUUAUUUACCACCCAAUGUAAUUGUGUUCUUGCUAUUGGUACUAUUGCAGCUCCAGCCAUUGCUCCAGUUACUGCUGAUGCUGUCAGUGAUUGUGCUCCUACCAGUGAUCGCAAUAUUGCUGCUGCUAUUCCUGCUAGGCCUCCUGCUACUGCUGUUACUAAUACUUCUCCUGUUUUUGUUUCUGCUUCCCAUAAUGAUUGUAAAAUGCUUACUCCAGCUGCAGCUCCUGCUGCUGCUCCUAUUACUGUGUCAGCUAUUGUUAUUCCUGACAUUGCUACUAUUACUGCUACUGCUACUGUCACUGCUAUUGUUACUGUUAGUGGUUUUGGUUUCCAUGUUGCUUGCAGUGUGUAUUGUAGAGUUGCCCUUUGUUCUCCUGUUGCUUCUUCUCCUGGUCCUGAAAAAAAUAAAUAAAAGAAUAAUAAUUUUAAUCAACAUGUCAUCAUCACAGAAAUACAAACAUCUUACGAUUUGCUCAGCAUAUGAAUAGGAUAAUGAUGUUAUCCAAUCAUAUAAAUUUAAUGUCUUACCCAUGUUGUCAGAUUUUAAAUCACCAGGAUAUGAGGAUUCAGAUCUUCUAAUCACUCUUGUCAAGUUCACACAGGGCCUGCCUGUGGUUUGUGGAACUCUAGGCAAGAUCAUGACAUAAUAUUGACAUAAUAUUAAAAUGUAACAACUACAAUCAUGACAACUGCACUGAAAAAUAGAUGACUAAAACAAGCACACUGUACAUAGGUUGUUGACCAAUA